GUCCCCUCAACGAGAGGCAAACUUGAACUACUGCUGUGUCUGCCAACUUAACACCUACCGUGUGUUAAUACUAGGCGAUUUCAGUACUAGUCUUAUGUCGGGAAAGACGAGGACACUUGGUGGGAAGCAGCUCAGAAGGAUUUGCACUAAAAGUCGGACUUGGAUAAGAAUUUGUUCUACCUCAGAGUAGGACAUGAAGUGUCCUACACCCAGUCCCAGCGAGGAGUAGGAAUUCACAUUUGAGAACGAAUGAUAUUAUAAUUUUAUUGCACCCUGAGCCACAAAGUGGUACUUGUGAUGACAUUUUGUAGUUUCCUUGGAAGUUAUGAUGAUGUUUGUAGGUUUCUGAUACAAAUGUUAAGGCUUUUGCCUGGUGGCGAGGAAGCAGGGAGAAGCAUUGGGGUACCACCCCAGUAACCCAUUUAAUUGAACAAAAAAAAAAAGUAAAGAAACAAAACCGAAUGGUUCAGCACACAACUUAAAAGAAACUGACAUAAGGUCAGUCACAGUAGCUUUCUCAUGCUCUGUUCUCUCUUGGAAGUUUGCCUAUGGCUCUAAGCACACUCAGGUUCAAGUCAUCUUAA